ACACUGUUGCUGCAAUACCUGCCUCCAGAUGCAGCCAGAUAACCACCAAAUGAGCCACCUCCAAGCCAGUCACACCCUUGCUGGCCAUUCAGGGCACAUUGAAGAAGAGGGAGACAUGUGAGAUCAUAGGAGCUGGUCACUAGAGUGUUGGUGUCACCAAGCCAAAUUUCGGUCUGUUCACCUGUGGGCAGUAAAGCCUCUCCUUACUCUGGGUUGCAGUGAAGGAAAGGGCAGCAUUUGUUGCAGGGCUUCAAGAUGGCUAAUGGUCAAAAAUCUCAAUGGCUUUCAGGGAAAGGUGUUUAAAGACAGUGAGUUCGAGGGUUGCAGGUGCAGGACCAGCUGGCAGACAUUCCUCUGAUUGGUUGGUAGUGAGGUAAUUAGGAGUCAACAUCAUUAAACUUGGGGUUCCAACCAGGCCACGUGCUUGUGGUUAGCAAGCAGUUAAUUUUUCCCACCUGGUAGGGCUUUCAGUGUCUGCCAAACAACUCAAAGGAUACGGCUCAGAAUAUUACCUUUAGCCCUUGAGGAGGAACUAAAAGUCCUUGAUUUUGUUUUGUGGCUAAGUUAUUCUUUUUUUGUCUGGCUUGAUUAUUUCCCUUUCUUUCUGUAUUUUUCUCAUGGCUCUGACUAAAUGUAUUCUUUGGAACUCGGGGAAGCCCUAGGAGGCUAACGUUUAUCUACAAACCAGCAGCAGGCUGAGGACUCAGGGUGGAGCAGUGGAGGGGGGUCGAGUUUCCCAGGAAGACCCCCUAGGGUCCUGUUCAGGUACAUCUGGAGAGGACACAGAGAGGACAGAGAAGAGGUGACUGCUGAUUGACCUGCAAGUUGGACUUGGCUGAUUGGAGGCGCCUUGAUCCUGCCUAUUUCCUUGAAAUGUACCCUCUGCCCUUGGUUCCCAGGCUGGGAGCCAUUUUUGAGGAGGCAGCCUUGAAGGAACUGUGUGUUGCUGAGACUCUCUGGACAACAUGCGAGUCUAAACCCACUGAGGGCCUCUGUAAAAGCUUUCAAGAUCCUGGCCAGCAGGGGUGGAGAGUGCUUUUGGCUACCAAGACAAGCCUUGUAGGGCCAUGUGUUUGGUAAUCCUUACCUCCAGCCUAACUUCUAAAGGAACACUAACCUGGAAUCCAUCAUCAAAAAGCCAAGUCACCGGAGUUUCACCAAUUCCCAGCCUGUGAAUGGGCUCUUCUGUAUGAUUGCCUCAAGGCAGGAACAGCAUGAGGAGGGAGAACCAGAGCAGCGUGUCUGAAUUCCUCCUUUUGGGGCUCCCCAUCCAGCCACAGCAGCAGGGCAUGUUCUUUGCCCUGUUCCUGGGCAU